UUUUUUCCCUCCUCCUUCGCGUCGAUCCGUGCCCUAACCGCUUCGAGACGGUUUCUUCUCCUCUUCCCCUUUUUCUUCCGCGACGCCAAGCCUUCUCUUCUUCUUCCCGAACCCGACCGUCUCCUAAACCUCGUCGUUUGUCCCCUUCUCUUCUCCUCUGCGCGUCGACACCGACCCAGCGCCACCGCCGUCCCGACGCCACCUCCUCUCCCUCUGCCCUAAUCUGGGUUGCGGGCACGCCCUAGCGUUUGCCGACGCAGCCCCGAUCUCCGACGCUACUGAUCGUCGGUUGCCGGUGUCCGUGACCCGCGGCUCCCUUCUUCCCUCUAUGUUUCCAUCGGCCACCAUAGACGACGUCGACUUCACUGUGCAUUGUCAUCCCAUGCCCUAGAUCAUCGGAAGCUGAGAGUGUGGUUAGGCGACUGAGAGAAGACACAGAUUCAAGGACAGAGAGCUGUGUGCCCUAGUCGAUCACCACUGACAACAGUGAGCUACAACCACAGAAGAAGGUUAGUGGGCGCCUGGAGUUGCAGAUUUUUUUUACCACCACAACACUGAAUGCCUAGUUGUUCCCGUGAUACCCAUGUUUGAUCCGAUCAGUGCAAGACUUUGACGCGGGACGAGCACUUCGACACAGAGGUUGUUUAGCUCGAUCCAUAUUGAGGCGGGUUGAGGCUGUCCAGAAGAGUUCCAGUCGCUAGUCCCUUGCAGAUCGUGAGGAUUGUGAUUGUGACUGGGACAACAGAGAAGAGGUUUUCGGAAGUUGAAGGCAUCAUUAGAAGGCAGAUAAAGGUGUUUGGUUCUUCCAAGUGUGCAACCGUUUCAUGCUAUUGCAUACCCAGUUGAUACAGUGCUUGUAUUGGAGAUAAGGCGACUAUUUACUGAAUUCAACAUUGCUGUCAUUGUUUUCCAUCAACUGUGCUUGUAUUGGAGAUAAGUCGAAAAUAUGAAGUACACUGCUGGUUGAUUGCUUCACCUUACAAGCUUCCUGCAUUUGUCCAUCCACCUCGUAUUCCUCUGUAGGCUGAUAGAAAAAGUGGGAGACUGAAGAUUGGGUACGUUAGCGGUGACUUUGGCAAUCACCCACGCUCACAUCUUAUGGCCUGUCUUUGGAAUGCACAAUCGAGAGAAUGUUGAGGUUGUCUGUUAUGCAUUGAGUCAAAAUGAUGGCAGUGAGUGGCGCAGUGUAUCCAGUCUGAAGCAGAAUAUUUUAUUGAUUCGUCUUCAAUGUCAUCUGAUUUGAUUGCUAGAAAGAUCAAUGAAGAUAUGAUACAUAUCCUAGUAAACCUCAAUGGUUACAUUAAGAUUGACGAGGGUGCUGAGGCAUAUUGCCAUAAUAGAUAAGGCGACGGGAAUAUGCUCCUGUCGGUAGUGGCUAGAGGAAGAUCCCUCUCUGGUGGGGCUCGUUGGACACGCUUCGCUAGACGGUGGAAGAGUGGAGGGGCUGUGGGAGCACAACCCCGACGAGAAUUGGAGUAGCUUCUGGUGAAGCUUCCAACUUCAGCACUGGAGGCUGGGCUCCAGUCAAGCAAGGCCCUCCACCCAACCAGGGAUGGGCUGUGGAGCACAAGCGCAUUCUUUGGUUGUGAAGGCUGGGUGGGGAGAGCAACUCCCGGAGUCGGGCAAGCACGCCAGAAUCAUCAGCAAAUCAACUCAGGCAAGGCAACGAGAGGGCUUAGCCUUCUUCCCUCUGUUCUGGGCCUCUUCAUGGUUUGGCCGGAAUAUUUGGUUGUUGCUGAAUGCCGUGCAUAGAUUAUAGAGAGCACCUCUCCGGCGGGACCACAGUGCGUGCUGAAGAAGUGACCGGUGAUGAGUGGGAAUGGGCGGCAGAGGGUGUGGCUGCAGUGCACAUCGGCCGAAGGGGAGUCAAGGUAAUCAAGCGGUUGCAAAGGCGCUUCAAACAACUACCAGGGAGAAGGUUGGAUGCAUCAGCUCGGGUGAUCAGCCAGGCAUGAGGAGGCUCCGGCGAGUCAAGGGGCAUGGUCUUUGAGGAAGAAGUGUGGCCAGCUAAGCAAGAGGGAGAUUUGAAUUUGAAUCUCAAAAUUCGCUGUUUGUGGAAACCAAAAAUAACUGAUGGACUCUUCCAACUCCUUGAAUCAUGAUCUCAGAUCAUUCCCAGGUUUAACAACAACAUGUUGUGACAGAUUAUGCGUUGUCAACCUCAGCAGAAGCCAGAAAAGCCUAUUGCAUCCACCAAAUGAGAAUACUAAUGAAAGAAUUGUCACCUUGAUCCGAGUCCUGUUGAAGGUGAAUGAGAACAUCCAUUGUUUAGAUUACAACUCCAUCUGAGCAUCUUCCAAUGUGUCAUCAUUUCUUCCCAAGAAUCAACAUCAUCCAAGAGUAUGCUACCUUAAGAAUUCCUCUCGAGUCAGCAGCGUUGUAACCAUCACUACCCUUUCAUCACUCAUUUUGAUGCCAUUAUCACUGCCAG